UAUUAAAAAUUCAUUCAUUUUUAUUAUUAAAAACUAACGAGACUGACAAAAUAACUCAAUAGUUACACGUACUGUGUCAUGUGUACCUCAUUCUAAUCCAUGGGAAUUAGUUUUUAACCGUAUAAAUAGAUAAAAUUUUUAACA
rnacentral:pre_miRNA from 1 species